rnacentral:rRNA from 1 species
CCUACGGGAGGCAGCAGUGAGGAAUAUUGGUCAAUGGGCGCGAGCCUGAACCAGCCAAGUAGCGUGAAGGAUGACUGCCCUACGGGUUGUAAACUUCUUUUAUAAAGGAAUAAAGUGAGGCACGUGUGCCUUUUUGUAUGUACUUUAUGAAUAAGGAUCGGCUAACUCCGUGCCAGCAGCCGCGGUAAUACGGAGGAUGCAAGCGUUAUCCGGAUUUAUUGGGUUUAAAGGGUGCGUAGGCUGUGAGGUAAGUCAGCGGUGAAAGGCCCCCGCUCAACGGGGUGAAGUGCCAUUGUUACUGCCGUGCUGGAAUGCGGAUGCGGUGGGAGGAAUGUGUGGG